AGGGCGCACGGUGGAUACCUAGGCACACAGAGGCGAGGAAGGGCGUGCUACCGACGAAACGCUGCGGGGAGCUGGAAGGAAGCGGUGAUCCGCAGGUACCCGAAUGGGGCAACCCGGCAAGGCGAGAGCCUUGUCACCCUUAGCUGAAUCCAUAGGCUAAGGGGGCGAACGCGGCGAACUGAAACAUCUUAGUAGCCGCAGGAAGAGAAAACAACCGUGAUUUCCUCAGUAGCGGCGAGCGAACGGGAAAGAGCCUAAACCGCUUAGCUACGGCUAGGCGGGGUUGUGGGACGGCCAGAAGGUAGCCGGAAGGCUAGGCGAAGCAGCUGGAAUGCUGCACCAGAGAAGGUGAAAGUCCUGUAGCCGAAAGCUGGAAGGCGCCGGCCGGAUCCCGAGUAGCACGGGGCAGGUGAAAUCCCGUGUGAAUCAGCGAGAACCAUCUCGCAAGGCUAAAUACUCCUGUGUGACCGAUAGUGAACCAGUACCGUGAGGGAAAGGUGAAAAGAACCCCGGGAGGGGAGUGAAAGAGAGCAUGAAACCGUGUGCCUACAAGCAGUGGGAGCCCGAUUGAACGGGUGACCGCGUGCCUGUUGAAGAAUGAGCCAGCGAGUUACAGCGUGGGGCAGGUUAAGGCGGGAAUGCCGGAGCCAAAGGGAAACCGAGUCUGAAUAGGGCGUUGGUCGCACGCUGUAGACCCGAACCUGGGUGAUCUAACCAUGGCCAGGCUGAAGCUUGGGUAAAGCCAAGUGGAGGGCCGAACCGGUUGAUGUUGCACAAUCAUCGGAUGAGCUGUGGUUAGGGGUGAAAUGCCAAUCGAACCCAGAGCUAGCUGGUUCUCCCCGAAAUGCGUUGAGGCGCAGCGUCGACAGGUACCUGGUGGGGUAGAGCACUGAAUCGGUGCGGGCGGCGAGAGCUGUACCAAAUCGAACCAAACUGCGAAUACGCCAGGGUUAGUCGGCAGUGAGACGGUGGGGGAUAAGCUCCAUCGUCGAGAGGGAAACAGCCCAGACCACCAACUAAGGCCCCCAAGACAUCGCUCAGUGGUUAAGGAGGUGGGGGUGCGAAGACAACCAGGAGGUUGGCUUAGAAGCAGCCACCCUUUAAACAGUGCGUAACAGCUGACUGGUCAAGCGCCCUUGCGCCGAAAAUGAACGGGACUAAGCGAUGCGCCGAAGUUGUGGAUUGGAUGGUAGGGGAGCGUUCCGCACUAGGGUGAAGCGGUAGCGUGAGCAGCCGUGGACGAGGCGGAAGUGAGAAUGUUGGCUUGAGUAGCGCAAACAUUGGUGAGAAUCCAAUGCCCCGAAAACCCAAGGGUUCCCCCGGAAGGUUCGUCCGCGGGGGGUUAGUCGGGACCUAAGGCGAGGCCGACAGGCGUAGUCGAUGGAGACAGGGUUGAUAAUCCCUGACUGGCAACUGGAGCUGAGGAGGGACGCACGAGAGCUAGCCACACCCUGAAUGGAUUGGGAGGGGUCUACGGACUCCGCGUGGUGAAGGGUAGUGCCAAGAAAAGCUCGUAGGCGAUGAAGGUUGUCACCCGUACCCGAAACCGACACAGGUGGGUGGGUAGAGGAUACCGAGGGGCGCGAGAUAACCCUCUCUAAGGAACUCGGCAAAAUGACCCCGUAACUUCGGGAGAAGGGGUGCCAGCGCGAGCUGGCCGCAGUGAAAGGGCCCAGGCAACUGUUUACCAAAAACACAGGUCUCUGCUAAGUCGCAAGACGACGUAUAGGGGCUGACGCCUGCCCAGUGCCGGAAGGUUAAGGAAGUCGGUUAGCGCAAGCGAAGCUGGCGACCGAAGCCCCGGUGAACGGCGGCCGUAACUAUAACGGUCCUAAGGUAGCGAAAUUCCUUGUCGGGUAAGUUCCGACCCGCACGAAAGGCGUAAUGAUCUGGGCGCUGUCUCGGAGAGGGACUCGGCGAAAUAGACUUGUCUGUGAAGAUGCGGACUACCUGCACCUGGACAGAAAGACCCUAUGAAGCUUUACUGUAGCCUGGAAUUGGGUUCGGGCCUUGCUUGCGCAGGAUAGGUGGGAGACUGGGAAGUACCCCUUGCGGGGGGUAUGGAGUCGCCGGUGAGAUACCACUCUGGCAGGGCUAGAAUUCUAACUUUCCGCCCGGAAGCGGGGGAAAAGACAGUUUCAGGUGGGCAGUUUGACUGGGGCGGUCGCCUCCUAAAAGGUAACGGAGGCGCGCAAAGGUUCCCUCAGACUGGUUGGAAAUCAGUCGUAGAGUGCAAAGGCAUAAGGGAGCUUGACUGCAAGACCUACAAGUCGAGCAGGGACGAAAGUCGGCCUUAGUGAUCCGACGGCGCUGAGUGGAAGGGCCGUCGCUCAACGGAUAAAAGUUACUCUAGGGAUAACAGGCUGAUCUCCCCCAAGAGUUCACAUCGACGGGGAGGUUUGGCACCUCGAUGUCGGCUCAUCGCAACCUGGGGCGGAAGUACGUCCCAAGGGUUGGGCUGUUCGCCCAUUAAAGCGGUACGUGAGCUGGGUUCAGAACGUCGUGAGACAGUUCGGUCCAUAUCCGGUGCAGGCGCGAGAGGAUUGAGAGGAGCUCUCCCUAGUACGAGAGGACCGGGAGGGACGCACCGCUGGUGUACCAGUUAUCGUGCCAACGGUAGACGCUGGGUAGCCAUGUGCGGAGUGGAUAACCGCUGAAAGCAUCUAAGUGGGAAGCCCACCUCAAGAUGAGUCCUCUGUUAAGGUCCCGGGAAGACGACCCGGUAAUAGGCUCUAGGUGGAAGUGCAGCAAUGCAUGCAGCCGAGGAGUCCUAAUAGACCGUCUGCUUGACCC
rnacentral:rRNA from 1 species